AGAGCGAACGCUGGCGGCAGGCUUAACACAUGCAAGUCGAGCGCCCCGCAAGGGGAGCGGCAGACGGGAGAGUAACACGUGGGAACGUACCUUUCGGUUCGGAACAACCCAGGGAAACUUGGGCUAAUACCGGAUACGCCCGCAAGGGGAAAGAUUUAUCGCCGGAAGAUCGGCCCGCGUCUGAUUAGCUAGUUGGUGAGGUAACGGCUCACCAAGGCGACGAUCAGUAGCUGGUCUGAGAGGAUGAUCAGCCUCACUGGGACUGAGACACGGCCCAGACUCCUACGGGAGGCAGCAGUGGGGAAUAUUGGACAAUGGGCGCAAGCCUGAUCCAGCCAUGCCGCGUGGGUGAUGAAGGCCCUAGGGUUGUAAAGCCCUUUCGGGCGGGAAGAUAAUGACGGUACCCGCAGAAGAAGCCCCGGCUAACUUCGUGCCAGCAGCCGC
rnacentral:rRNA from 1 species